CAGGGUCGAAAAGAAGUCGGACACGACUGAAUGACUAAAUGACAACAAACGCAACCCUUGAGCCAGGUACAGAAGAUGGAAAAAUAUGAUUUGAAGUCACUGCCUAUUCUCCAGAUGGGGAAAACAUGCCAACAGGUCAUUGCCACCAUCAGCCCAGAGGGACGUGAAUGGAGGGACCCUGACAGCCUGUUGGCAGGACGAGGAUGUAAAGAAAGCUGCCUGCAGAAUGUGCAACGCUUCUCUUAAUUCCCUUUUCUCCGCUUUCCACAUCAAUUAAAUUUGAAAACACUCACGCCCAGGCACACACCACUGCAUAUCUAGAAGAAAACUAUCCGGAAAACAUGGGAUGCACAUUAACGACUUGG